rnacentral:lncRNA from 1 species
CACUGUCAGUGCUACUUCAACCACCAACAACACCCAAAACCACGACGGCAACUAAGGAAGAAAAAGAUGAGAAAGAAGAAGCGGCGAGUUUUUUUUUUUUCCUUUUUUUUUCCUAAAAUGAACUUGAACAAUUUCAAGAACUUGGCUUUCACUGAUAAAAGAAGAAAGAAGAAGUAGAAGUUUGAAGCUUUGAUUUUAUUUCUCUGCCUUUGAACUUGCUAUGUUGAGUCGCGUCUGUGAGUACCGAGUUGAGUCGAGUCAGGGAACGAGGGGGCAGCAGCCUCGGCACCGCCGCGGUUGCCGGAGAAUCGAAGAGGGUGGCGGUGGCAUCUUUGUCGUCACGAGGAAGGAGUCAGCACCGCGUGGUGCAGCGUCUUCACCCAGAUCGGAGAGUUGCGAGACAGAGAGGGAGACCCAGAGGGUAUUUUCGAUUGAGG